GAACUGGCUCUGACACUGCUGGCUCUGUUUUUGGGAUUGAGCUGGAGUCGCUCACAGCAACUGCAGCGAAACGGACAAUGAGACGGAUGCUGGUGAUCAUGGACAAUGACAGCCACCCACUACACAGCACACUCUUUAAACAGAGGAGCAUGUUCAGUGGCAGACUUGUG